rnacentral:rRNA from 1 species
UACGAAGGGGGCUAGCGUUGCUCGGAAUCACUGGGCGUAAAGCGCACGUAGGCGGAUUGCUAAGUCAGGGGUGAAAUCCUGGAGCUCAACUCCAGAACUGCCUUUGAUACUGGUGAUCUUGAGUCCGGGAGAGGUGAGUGGAACUGCGAGUGUAGAGGUGAAAUUCGUAGAUAUUCGCAAGAACACCAGUGGCGAAGGCGGACUCACUGGCCCGGUACUGACGCUGAGGUGCGAAAGCGUGGGAG